AUAUCAAAUCGUUCCAAUAGAAGACCAUUCACACCAUUGAGUAAAAAUGUUGAUCAGUUAGACACAAUGGAUGAAUCAUUUACUGAUCUUGAUUCUACUCUCAAUACUUGUACACUAUCAGUAGCUCCUCCUUUUCCUCCUACUCCAAUGAGAGGUCCUCCCACUAAAAGACAAGCAUUAGGAUAUGGACAUUCAUUUAGUUCAAUGGAUCUCACUAAAUUAGGAUCCACUGGUACACUCUAAUACUGCAUGUUACUGUAUGUGUGUAUGACGCUUGUUAUUAUUAUUAUUAUAUUUUUAAUUCGUUCCUCCUUCAUUAAUAUAUCUAUGUACUUAUGUUGCAUUUGCUUUUUCCCUUCCUUUAUCUUAUCAUUGCUGUUAUUUCUGUCUCCAAACUAAACUAAUGUAA